rnacentral:rRNA from 1 species
AACGAACGCUGGCGGCAUGCCUAACACAUGCAAGUCGAACGAGACGUUCGGGUCUAGUGGCGCACGGGUGCGUAACGCGUGGGAACCUGCCCUUAGGUUCCGUAUAACUCCCUGUAAGGGAUGCUAAUACCGGUUAAUGUCUUCCGGCCAAAGAGCUAUGGCCUUUGGGUGGGGGCGGGUUGGAUUAGUUGGUUGGGAGGGUAUAAGCAUACCAAGGCCAGGAUGCAUAGCUGGUGUGAUAGGAUGAUAAUCCACGAUGGGACUGCGGCCCGGACCAGAAUCGUACGGAAGGGAGCGGUAGGGUAUAUUGGACGCUGGGCGAUAGCCUGAUCACGCCGUGCGGCGUGAGUGAUGAAGGCCUUAGGGUUGCACAGCUCUUUUACCCGGGAUGAUAAUGACAGUACCGGGUGAAUAAGCACCGGCUAACUACGUG